rnacentral:lncRNA from 1 species
UUAUAUCUUUUUUAGUUAUUUGUUAAAUUUGUGGUGGAUAUUUUCCUUGUGGGUAUAUUUGUGUUUUUUAAGGAAGAUUUUUAUGAUUUGUGUAGGGUUUGGUUGAAAGGGAAAAAUUGGACUUUUUUGAUCUUCCUAUUUAUGGUCCAACUCCUGAAGAAGUUAGAAAAGUGAUUGAAGAAGAAGGAUCUUUUAGGCUUAAAACGUUGAAGACAGUUAAAAUAGGUUGGGAUGGAAACCUUCAAGAGGAUGUUGAUGAUGCUACAGUUGAUAGCAAAACAAGAGCACUGAUCGUAGCUAAGUCAAUAAGAGCAGUUUUUGAACCUCUUUUAUCGGCCAACUUUGGUGAAGUUAUCAUGGAUGAAUUGUUUUCCAGAUUUGCAAUGAUAGUUUCCCAACUCAUUGAUACUGAGUUGGAAUCGUUGGAGUAUGCCAAUGUGAUAGUGUCUAUGACAAAAGAUUCUUAGAAUAUGUUCCGGCUUCGUCAUGCAUAAUCGAAGUUUAUGCAUGAUUUGAUUUCGUGGGACUUGGUUAAUGAUAUUUUUCACUAAUUAUAUCAGGUUGAAUUUUCUUGUAAGAAUAAGGAAGUUUUUCCUUGUGUAUUUGUACGUCUACUUUAAAUCUUGCCCAACAACACUGUUUUAGUUUCAUUGCUAAAAAAAUUAAUGUGGUGGAGACUAUUUGUCACAAAACACAAAAUAUCAUUACAAAAUAUUAAUGAUGAAAUUUGUUAUAAAAACCAAUGUUAUCAAAAUAAGGUGUCAUAAAACUUUUUGUUACGUUUGUUAAAAAGAACAACUUCAAAAAUAUUGCCUCUUACAUAGUUUAGAAAUUAUAGAAAAAAUAUUAAAGUAUUAAAAAUAUCAAAGAGACAAAUAAAAACCUUCAAUAUACUCAAAGGUUUAAUGAACUACAAGCAAAAGAAUAAUUAAUGCUAAAAUAAUAAGUUAAUAAUUCUUCAUUAUAUUUAUCUUAUUAUUAUUACUUAAUAAUUAGAACCGAACUCAUUUUUAAAAUCAUAAAAUUGGCCUUUAGAAAUCAAUUAGCUCUUGGCACCAUAAAAUAAGAGAUUGCAAGAGACCCCAAAGCAACGCUUAGCCUUAAAACAUUCUGAUUAAAAAAUCAUAGGAUUUGUUCCUUGAAAAUAAAAGCUUGAAAAUAAAAGCUUGAUUUUAAGUGAUUUUAGUAACCUGUACGUGAAGUAACCCUCUACCUUAGCGUAAAAGUUGAACAAAUAAUUCUAUCAUUAGCGAUUAUAUAGUUUUACAUUCCAUAUAUCCAUAGAAAAUUAUAGUCAUUAUAUAGAAUUUUGCACGCCUGCAUCCAUAAAAAAUUGUGCUUAUAACUUUUUGCAGGUGCGAUGUCGAUAUAGACGUCGGUUAAAUUCAAAGUCCGACGUCUACAAAGAUAUCUGACAAUGCGCUAACCGACGUCUAAUCUUAUUUUAGACGUCGGUUUGUAAAACUUGGGACGUCUAUAAAACCGUCAAACAUUGCAUUAACUGACGUCUUUGGGACAUCAUAGACGUCCAUUUGUACAUUAACCGACGUCUAUGAAGUGAUCGUUGUGUUUUGGUGCACUUUUUGUCGUGUCUUGGGGUAGCGUAGUAGCACCUCCUUCCUUUGUUAGUUUCUUCAUAAGAAAAAGUUGUUUCUUUUAAAUUUCUCAUGAAAUUUCAACCCAAAGACAAACUUGGAUCGUUGCCUAGGUCCAUUCCGACCGCCGUAUACUUUCUCACUGGAGGUCGGAAUGGACAUAGGCAACAACCCAAGUUCAUCCUUGGAUUGAAAUGCCAUGCGAAAUCCAAAAAACGCAAGUUUUCCUUACGAGGAAACUAGCAAAGGGAGAAGGUGCACUAUGCUACACAAAGACACAACAAAAAAACCGCACCAAAACACAACAAAACCUCAUUUUAAUCGGUUCAAAUGAGAGAUAAUACAUCAAAGAUUACUUUAAUCGGAGUAAAAACAACUUUAAGUAGUUAAAAGGAGAAGAAACUUACUUGGAAAUGCAGAGUAGCAGAGAGAAAAGGCAAAGACGAUCAAAGUGUUGGUCCGCAAACCACUGGUUCGCAGUGUUAUUUAACAAGAAAUUAGAUGUCUAUUGUACACAUAAUCGACGUCUAAAAUAGCAAAUACGUCGAACGCCUGACUAAUAUAACGUCCAUUCAAAUUAAAAAUUAAUAUUUCUGUUGUAUAUAGACGUCGGCUUGGCGGCAUGAGACGUCUCGUGGGCGGAAACGAAUGACUUUUCCCAUACCUGGUAGGAUUAUAGACGUCGGUACCUGAGGCAAUAGACCUCUAGAAUUGUAUAUAGACGUCAAUGUGACGGGAUCUGACGUCUAUAGGACUGAAAAGAGUGACUAUUCACCUGCUUGGCAGACAUAUAGACGUCAACUACAAUGAGCCCGACUUCUAUAUGUCUAACAGGUUGGUGAGUCGAUAAAUUGUAAAAUGUUUUGUGGUCAAUUUAAAACAUGAUUGUUCUAUGUAGAAGAAUAAGCUUUCGAAUAUAUUGUACGUAUUUUAUAGCUUUUUUAGUUAUUUGUUAAAUUUUUGGUUGAUAUUUUCCUUGUGGGUAUAUUUGUGCUUUCUAAGGAAGAUUUUUAGAUUUUUAUGAUUUUUGUGGGUAUAUUUUCCUUGUGGGUUUGGUUGAAAAGGAAAAAUUGGACUUUUUUUAUCUUCCUAUUUAUGGUCCAACUCCUGAAGAAGUUAGAAAAGUCAUUGAAGAAGAAGGAUCUUUUAGGCUUAAAACAUUAAAGACAGUUAAAAUAGGUUGGGAUGGAAACCUUCAAGAGGAUGUUGAUGAUGCUACAGUUGAUAGCAAAACAAGAGCAAUGAUCGUAGCUAAGUCAAUAAGAGCA